CCUACGGUGCGCUGCAGUGGGGAAUAUUGGACAAUGGGCGAAAGCCUGAUCCAGCCAUGCCGCGUGUGUGAAGAAGGCCUUCGGGUUGUAAAGCACUUUCAGUGGGGAAGAAAGCCUUGGGGCUAAUACCCUCGAGGAAGGACAUCACCCACAGAAGAAGCACCGGCUAACUCCGUGCCAGCAGCCGCGGUAAUACGGAGGGCGCGAGCGUUAAUCGGAAUUACUGGGCGUAAAGCGCGCGUAGGCGGUCUGAUAAGCCGGUUGUGAAAGCCCCGGGCUCAACCUGGGAACGGCAUCCGGAACUGUCAGGCUAGAGUGCAGGAGAGGAAGGUAGAAUUCCCGGUGUAGCGGUGAAAUGCGUAGAGAUCGGGAGGAAUACCAGUGGCGAAGGCGGCCUUCUGGACUGACACUGACGCUGAGGUGCGAAAGCGUGGGUAGCAAACAGGAUUAGAUACCCCUGUAGUC
rnacentral:rRNA from 1 species